GAUUACGUCAGUCACUCCCAGCAACGCCCUUCAAACAAGGAAUAGGGUUCCGUCGCUAUAUGCCGGACCCCCGGAAAGGCUUCCACGGUGCGGAGCACGUGUCUACGUCAAGAGCCCAAGUUAACACUUGGGAGUCGUCGACUGGGACUACCAAGUCGCCGACUCCAAGGGUGAAUCGCCGAUUCCGGCCAGGGAUCUCGGGUCUGGUAGACCGAGGACUUGGCCUCCAAGGAAUCGG
rnacentral:lncRNA from 1 species